AGUGAACGCUGGCGGCAGGCCUAAUACAUGCAAGUCGAACGGCAGCACAGCAGAGCUUGCUCUGUGGGUGGCGAGUGGCGGACGGGUGAGGAAUACGUGGGAAUCUGCCCAGUCGUGGGGAUAACGUAGGGAAACUUACGCUAAUACCGCAUGCGCCCUUCGGGGAAAGCCGGGGACCUUCGGGCCUGGCGCGAUUGGAUGAGCCCACGUCGGAUUAGCUAGUUGGCGGGGUAAAGGCCCACCAAGGCGACGAUCCGUAGCUGGUCUGAGAGGAUGAUCAGCCACACUGGAACUGGGACAUGGUCCAGACUCCUACGGGAGGCAGCAGUAGGGAAUAUUGGACAAUGGGCGCAAGCCUGAUCCAGCCAUGCCGCGUGAGUGAAGAAGGCCCUCGGGUUGUAAAGCUCUUUUGUCCGGAAAGAAAGCGCCGGGUUAAUACCCUGGUGUCCUGACGGUACCGGAAGAAUAAGCACCGGCUAACUUCGUGCCAGCAGCCGCGGUAAU
rnacentral:rRNA from 1 species